GACGAACGCUGGCGGCGUGCUUAACACAUGCAAGUCGAACGGAAAGGCCCUGCUUUUGUGGGGUGCUCGAGUGGCGAACGGGUGAGUAACACGUGAGUAACCUGCCCUUGACUUUGUGAUAACUUCAGGAAACUGGGGCUAUUACCGGAUAGGAGCUCUUGCUCCAUGGUGGGGGUUGGAAAGUUUCGGCGGUUGGGGAUGGACUCGCGGCUUAUCAGCUUGUUGGUGGGGUAGUGGCUUACCAAGGCUUUGACGGGUAGCCGGCCUGAGAGGGUGACCGGCCACAUUGGGACUGAGAUACGGCCCAGACUCCUACGGGAGGCAGCAGUGGGGAAUAUUGCACAAUGGGCGGAAGCCUGAUGCAGCAACGCCGCGUGCGGGAUGACGGCCUUCGGGUUGUAAACCGCUUUCGCCUGUGACGAAGCGUGAGUGACGGUAAUGGGUAAAGAAGCACCGGCUAACUACGUG
rnacentral:rRNA from 1 species